CUGAGACUACCGCUCCCAGAAUGCGCAGCGAGCCCCCCCAACCCCUCGCCUUCCCUCUGGAGGGAAGUCCUGCCACGCAAAGAAGAGUGAGUUUUUUUCCCCAGCAUCUCCUGCCUGCGGAGACAAAGCGAGGAGGCGAGCCCAGUGUGGUUGGAGUCACCCUGCAGACAGCCUAAUGGUGGCGGCCGCUCAGAGCCCAGAUCUCACUGACCAACGACCAGUUUCUUGGCCCAAGGCUGCAGGGCUUAGGCCAAGCCUCCACCAGGCCCUCGCAGGUGGGCGUGGAUGCCUUGGACCCGCGCGGAUCCGGUACCUGAGGUGACCACUCCUGUGUGGAGACUGACGAAGACCUUAAUGGCACUGAAGGGUGGAUAAUAUAAAUGCAGCCGUGAUGGAUUCGAAAGAAAAGAUACGUAUUCUAAGUGAAGAGGCCAAAAUAGGAGCACAUAGAAAACCAAUGCUCUUUCUCCAUCUUAGUGACUGUGGUGGAGUCUUUGUGGAAUUGGAGCAAGCCUGAUGAAUAAUUCACAAGAAACUGAUUGCCCUGAAAAAAUCUUUUCACAGUGUGCUUUGACACUGAGUUCUUCACUGCUUCUGUCACUGAGAAGUCAGAACUAAAUCAUGGAAAGGGAUUUUUUAAAAUUAUAUAUGUAUACAUACAUAUAUAUACACACAAAAUAUUUGCUGAUUACUUUGGAUUUUUUCCUGAUUUGGAGACAACUUUAAUUACUGAAUACUUAUGGAAUAUUA